rnacentral:rRNA from 1 species
UGGGGAAUAUUGGACAAUGGGGGCAACCCUGAUCCAGCAAUGCCGCGUGUGUGAAGAAGGCCUGAGGGUUGUAAAGCACUUUCAGUGGGGAGGAGAAUAGUCUGGUUAAGAGCUGGAUUAAGAGACGUUACCCACAGAAGAAGCACCGGCUAACUCCGUGCCAGCAGCCGCGGUAAUACGGAGGGUGCGAGCGUUAAUCGGAAUUACUGGGCGUAAAGGGUGCGUAGGUGGUUUGAUAAGUUAUCUGUGAAAUUCCCGGGCUUAACCUGGGGUGGUCAGCUAAGACUGUUAGACUGGAGUAUGGGAGAGGGUAGUGGAAUUUCCGGUGUAGCGGUGAAAUGCGUAGAGAUCGGAAGGAACACCAGUGGCGAAGGCGGCUACCUGGCCUAAUACUGACACUGAGGCACGAAAGCGUGGGGAGCAAACAGGAUUAGAUACCCCCGUAGUCC